GGAGAACAGCGGUAGAGCCGGAGGGCGAGUGCGAUUCCAAAGGGUCAGGUCCCUAACAUGCUGGCCAGAGCAGGAAGGAGGCAACCUCCAAACUCCCGGGGAAAAAAAACCAGGGAGCCCACCGGCAGCGCCUCGCACCUCGCCCUGACCACAGCACGUGCGCCCGGCCCGCCUCGCACCCCGGCCCGGGAGGGGCCCCAGGGAACUCCCGGGGCGCUCGGGAAGGGACGCCUGGGGCGGGGCGCGCAGGCGCGCUGAGGCCGCGAGCCCCAAGGGGCGGGCGGGUGCGCGCGCUUCCUCGCGCACGCGCGCACGGAGGGGGCGACGGCCCGGGUGACGCUGCGGCGGCGGCGGCGGCGGCGGGCGGGCGGCGGCGCGUGAGGCGCGCGAUCUCCGGUAUCUUGGGAGCAGUGCCCCGGCCCCCGCCGCUCCCGCCGCCGCCAUGUCGGGCCGGUCGGUCCGGGCGGAGACCCGCAGCCGGGCCAAGGACGACAUCAAGAAGGUGAUGGCGGCCAUCGAGAAAGUGCGAAAAUGGGAGAAAAAAGUGGGUGACUGUGGGUGACACGUCCCUGAGGAUAUUUAAGUGGGUUCCUGUGACAGACAGCAAGGAGAAAGAAAAGUCAAAAUCGAACAGUUCAGCAGCCCGAGAACCUAAUGGCUUUCCCUCUGAUGCCUCAGCCAAUUCCUCUCUCCUCCUUGAAUUUCAGGAUGAAAACAGCAACCAGAGUUCCGUGUCUGAUGUCUACCAGCUCAAGGUGGACAGCAGCACCAACUCAAGCCCCAGCCCCCAGCAGAGUGAGUCCCUGAGCCCAGCACACACGUCCGACUUCCGCACGGAUGAUUCCCAGCCCCCCACCCUGGGUCAGGAGAUCCUGGAGGAGCCUUCCCUGCCCUCCUCGGAAGUUGCUGAUGAACCUCCCACCCUCACCAAGGAAGAACCAGUUCCGCUAGAGACACAGGUCGCUGAAGAGGACGAAGACUCAGGUGCCCCACCCCUGAAGCGCUUCUGUGUGGACCAACCCACAGUGCCGCAGACAGCGUCAGAGAGCUAGCACUGUCCCAGCCCUCUGCCUCCUGGCCCCGCCUCUAUUUAUUGCAUUCUGGUUCUGGCUGCGCUGUGUUGCUGGGGGAGGGGCAAGCACUGGGGUCGAGAGCCUGCACACAUGAGCCUUCCGGGCUGGAAGGCCGGCAUAGGACUUGGGGCUGUCGCACCAUCGUCCCGUCCCUCGCACCUGUGUCUACUUGCUCCCGAGAAGAGGAGUGCUCAUGUCUUUUUUGCACCCCAAGUUGGCUGGAGCGUUGGCCACCCCAAGAUUCAUCUGUCACCUCCAGGCAGCAGUCUCUGCUCCAGAACGUCUGGACCGAGCUGCUGGCAGCUUCCAUGAGAAGAGAGAUGUGGAAGGCGCCCUCCAGAAGAGAGAGUGCCUAGGGUUACUUGAACUUGAAUGAAGACUGUAGACUCCUGGACUUUCCCCUAGGGCUGGGGGCCCUGCAGGCUGCUGCUGGAGGAGGACUGUGUAGCGACGUUGGAGGGGAGGGAAGGGCUUCUCUCCACACAAGGGCAGAGGCUGUCUAGAUUCUUGCUGUCCUGUCCUGGCAAUGCCACCCAUGCCUGAGGUGGGCCUGCCUCUCAUGGGCACCCUAGCUGCUGACAGUCCUUUGUGCCCACCGCCCCGGUCCCCUGCCCUCAGCACACAUGUCCGCACACAUGCAGCUUUCUUCGUUCUCACCUGUACUGUCGUUCCGGCAUCCCUGCCUUCUGCCACAAACCGCCCCAGCAAGAAUUGGAGGUUCUGACGACAGUGCCUGUCCCCCACAGUACUCCUUCAGCUCGGUUUCUAGAAAGCUCCCUUUUCUUUGAAAUCUGCAUGUUGAAUUGAACUUUGUGAUUUUAUUUUUUGUUUCAAAAAAGUUUAAGAAAAUGGAAAUGGGCAACAGUGAGUGAAGACAUAUUUUAGCACUGAAUAGAAUAUUUUUAAAAUUAAACUAUUUGAAAUACG